GACGAACGCUGGCGGCGUGCUUAACACAUGCAAGUCGAACGGAAAGGCCCUGCUUUUGUGGGGUGCUCGAGUGGCGAACGGGUGAGUAACACGUGAGUAACCUGCCCUUGACUUUGGGAUAACUUCAGGAAACUGGGGCUAAUACCGGAUAGGAGCUCCUGCUGCAUGGUGGGGGUUGGAAAGUUUCGGCGGUUGGGGAUGGACUCGCGGCUUAUCAGCUUGUUGGUGGGGUAGUGGCUUACCAAGGCUUUGACGGGUAGCCGGCCUGAGAGGGUGACCGGCCACAUUGGGACUGAGAGACGGCCCAGACUGCUACGGGAGGCAGCAGUGGGGAAUAUUGCACAAUGGGCGGAAGCCUGAUGCAGCAACGCCGCGUGCGGGAUGACGGCCUGCGGGUUGUAAACCGCUUUCGCCUGUGACGAAGCGUGAGUGACGGUAAUGGGUAAAGAAGCACCGGCUAACUACGUG
rnacentral:rRNA from 1 species